CCUACGGGUGGCAGCAGUGAGGAAUAUUGGUCAAUGGACGAGAGUCUGAACCAGCCAAGUAGCGUGAAGGAUGACUGCCCUAUGGGUUGUAAACUUCUUUUAUAUGGGAAUAAAACGUUCCACGUGUGGGAUUUUGUAUGUACCAUAUGAAUAAGGAUCGGCUAACUCCGUGCCAGCAGCCGCGGUAAUACGGAGAAUCCGAGCGUUAUCCGGAUUUAUUGGGUUUAAAGGGAGCGUAGGUGGAUUGUUAAGUCAGUUGUGAAAGUUUGCGGCUUAACCGUAAAAUUGCAGUUGAAACUGGCAGUCUUGAGUACAGUAGAGGUGGGCGGAAUUCGUGGUGUAGCGGUGAAAUGCUUAGAUAUCACGAAGAACUCCGAUUGCGAAGGCAGUUCACUGGACUGCAACUGACACUGAGGCUCGAAAGUGUGGGUAUCAAACAGGAUUAGAUACCCUUGUAGUC
rnacentral:rRNA from 1 species